GAUGAACGCUGGCGGCGUGGAUAAGGCAUGCAAGUCGAACGAACCUCAUUUUUCCAGAGAUGCGAUUAUAUCAAAUCAAAGGUCGUUUAAGGUUAGUGGCGAACGAGGUAGUAAUACGCAGGAACUUCCCCCAAAGUCGCGAAUAAUUCGGAGAAAUCCGAACUAAUACGCGAGGUCUCGCAAGAGUAAAGAUUUUUCGCUUUGGGAAAGGCCUGUGCGAUAUCAGCUAGUUGGUAGUGUAAUGGACUACCAAGGCUAUGACGUCUAGGGGAGGUGAGAGCCUGACCCCCACCGAUGGUACUGAGACACGGACCAUACACCUACGGGUGGCCGCAGUCGAGAAUCUUCCGCAAUGGGCGAAAGCCUGACGGAGCGACGCCGCGUGAUUGAUGAAGUCCCUAUGGGACGUAAAGAUCUUUUAUGAGGGAAGAAGUUUAUUGACGGUACCUCAUGAAUAAGAGGCUCCUAAUCUCGUGCCAGCAGGAGCGGUAAUACGAGAGCCUCGAGCGUUAUCCGGAAUUAUUGGGCGUAAAGGGUGCGUAGGUUGUUCUGUUAGUCUUUUGUCAAAGCCCCGAGCUUAACUUGGGAUAUGCAAAAGAGACGGCAAAACUUGAAAGUGCGAGAGGCGUACGGAACUUAUGGUGUAGGGGUGAAAUCCGUUGAUAUCAUAGGGAACACCAAAUGCGAAGGCAGUACGCUGGCGCAUAUUUGACACUGAGGCACGAAAGCGUGGGUAGCGAAUGGGAUUAGAUACCCCAGUAGUCCACGCCCUAAACGAUGAUCUCUCGCUAUUCGGAGUAUCGACCCUCUGAGUGGCUUAGCUAACGCGUUAAGAGAUCCGCCUGGGAAGACGGCCGCAAGGCU
rnacentral:rRNA from 1 species